GUGGGGAAUAUUGGACAAUGGGCGAAAGCCUGAUCCAGCCAUGCCGCGUGUGUGAAGAAGGUCUUCGGAUUGUAAAGCACUUUAAGUUGGGAGGAAGGGCAGUAAGUUAAUACCUUGCUGUUUUGACGUUACCAACAGAAUAAGCACCGGCUAACUUCGUGCCAGCAGCCGCGGUAAUACGAAGGGUGCAAGCGUUAAUCGGAAUUACUGGGCGUAAAGCGCGCGUAGGUGGUUUUGUAAGUUGGAGGUGAAAUCCCCGGGCUCAACCUGGGAACUGCCUCCAAAACUGCAUGACUAGAGUACGGUAGAGGGUAGUGGAAUUUCCUGUGUAGCGGUGAAAUGCGUAGAUAUAGGAAGGAACACCAGUGGCGAAGGCGACUACCUGGACUGAUACUGACACUGAGGUGCGAAAGCAUGGGGAGCAAACAGGAUUAGAAACCCGUGUAGUCC
rnacentral:rRNA from 1 species